rnacentral:misc_RNA from 1 species
GACUGUGCAUGGCAUCCCUCGAGUUCCAUGGGAGAGUCAUACCCGAUUUGAUGGCUUAUCUGAGUACAAACUUGACAGGAAUGGAAAGAUCUUUCAGCACCGGGUUGACAAUGUUGCCCUUAAUUCACCUCCGAAGUUUAGAGUGUUGGCUGUGGAAGAAUUACUCCAGUCAAUUGGUUGCCUCUCAACUACAAAACCAACCUAUUUUGAGGUUUCAUCUUUGUCUUCGGAGACAGAAAUAUUGAGCUGGCGUUUGGUAACCAUCUUCACUUUAUAAAAACUCGGUUUUUGAUUACCCAAGUUGGCAUUACGGGUAGCAGUUUUUAGUUAAAUAUGAAAUGGAUCUGUGGGCUUGUUAAUUUUGCCUUGGAUUUCCGGAUCUUAUUUGUAUAAAACUUGUAUAUAUCAAUAGACUAGUAAAAUUUGAA